rnacentral:rRNA from 1 species
AGAGUUUGAUCAUGGCUCAGAUUGAACGCUGGCGGCAGGCCUAACACAUGCAAGUCGAACGCGAAAGUCCUUCGGGAUGAGUAGAGUGGCGGACGGGUGAGUAACGCGUAGGAAUCUGUCCUGUAGUGGGGGAUAACUCGGGGAAACUCGAGCUAAUACCGCAUACGCCCCAAGGGGGAAAGCGGGGGAUCUUCGGACCUCGUGCUAUCGGAGGAGCCUGCGUCGGAUUAGCUAGUUGGUAGGGUAAAGGCCUACCAAGGCGACGAUCCGUAGCUGGUCUGAGAGGAUGAUCAGCCACACCGGAACUGAGACACGGUCCGGACUCCUACGGGAGGCAGCAGUGGGGAAUAUUGCGCAACGGGCGAAAGCCUGACGCAGCCAUGCCGCGUGUGUGAAGAAGGCCUUCGGGUUGUAAAGCACUUUCAGAGGGGAGGAAAGGGCGCUGGCUAAUAUCCAGCGCAGUUGACGCUACCCUCAGAAGAAGCACCGGCUAAUUCCGUGCCAGCAGCCGCGGUAAUACGGAAGGUGCGAGCGUUAAUCGGAAUUACUGGGCGUAAAGCGCGCGUAGGCGGCUUGGUAAGUCGGGUGUGAAAGCCCCGGGCUCAACCUGGGAACUGCAUUCGAUACUGCCGGGCUAGAGUACGAGAGAGGGGGGUGGAAUUCCAGGUGUAGCGGUGAAAUGCGUAGAGAUCUGGAGGAACACCAGUGGCGAAGGCGGCCCCCUGGUUCGAUACUGACGCUGAGGUGCGAAAGCGUGGGGAGCAAACAGGAUUAGAUACCCUGGUAGUCCACGCUGUAAACGAUGUCUGCUAGCCGUUGGGAUCCUUGAGGUCUCGGUGGCGCAGCUAACGCGAUAAGCAGACCGCCUGGGGAGUACGGCCGCAAGGUUAAAACUUAAAUGAAUUGACGG